UACGUAGGUGGCAAGCGUUGUCCGGAUUUACUGGGCGUAAAGAGCGCGCAGGCGGUUGAUUAAGUCGAAUGUGAAAGCCCCCGGCUCAACUGGGGAGGGUCAUUCGAUACUGAUCGACUCGAAGGCAGGAGAGGGUAGUGGAAUUCCCGGUGUAGUGGUGAAAUGCGUAGAUAUCGGGAGGAACACCAGUGGCGAAGGCGACUACCUGGCCUGUUCUUGACGCUGAGGCGCGAAAGCUAGGGGAGCAAACGGG
rnacentral:rRNA from 1 species